rnacentral:misc_RNA from 1 species
ACUAAAUCUCGAACUGGUUCAAUGGAGCCUUUGACGAGCCUACCAAGAUCCUGCACCAAAUCCCUUGUUUUGAACUCACUUUUCUUUCUCUCAGUCAACAUCACACCACAUCUAGUCAGGGCAUCAUGCAAUGUUCUACACUCACUGGAUUUACCAGUUUCUGCGGGCAAAAGGCAUUCCUUGCAACCAAGAGCAACCAAAGCUGACUCCACAUUUGUAAAGUGACUAUCAUCAACAAAUUCGGCCAACCCAAUAAUUCUUUUUGUUAAAUCGAUAUAACUUAAACCAACAGUGCAACCAUUUUCACGGAAAU